CACCAUAGUAUUAGUGUCAUGUCACAGCCAAUGCCAGAGAGAAUAUAUAAUUAAUUGAUGCUUUUUGCUGAGAGGAACACUUGCUCUACAAGUCAGCACCAGACACAAAGAGAAAGAGGAGGAAGCAGAGAAUGAGCAGAGGGAGAGAGAACGAGAGCUAAAACAGCAGAAAAUCCCAUUUUAGCUUUGAUCGCACUAAGCUCAGCCACUUGUCUCCUCUCUCUCCCUAUUUUAACAGAAUAGAAAGGAAGAGUGAGUGGCUGCAAGCAGAUAUACCAAUGUUUUAUUGAGACCAGGGAUAAAAACGGUGACAUCCAUCUCCGGUUGUGCCUGGAAUUUUUGCUCAAUUGUAUUCUUGUCUUUAGUCAAAGGGUUUUGAGGUCUCUAAGAUGCACUGGAUUUAUUUUUUGAUAUGCAGUAGGUGGAAGCAUGCUUAUAUUUGGGAUGUUGGUAGCAUCCCUCUCCUAUCUCCUAGAUUGAAGAUUUUGUUGAAUGCGCUCACAAAUUCCAAACUGAUCUGAGCUACUGAUGUGUUUGGAUGUCUUUUGAAGUCAACUCUGAGGCAAACCCUAAAUUCUUUUCAGGUGCCACUCUUUGUCUCAACAUAUUGGGUGUUGCUUGCAUUGUAAAGGAAAUUAAGUUCACAUGGGGCUAUGAAGAAAAUCUGGUCCAAACAAAGAUUCCAGAGAGCUGGGCACACUAACUGGAUGUUUGGAAGACUUGCUCAUGUGAAGUUUUUCGCUUGUGCAGGAAGCAAAGCAAUGAAGCAGACAACACAGAUGAUGAGAAUGGAGAAACCCAGGUCUCCAUGGAAACAAAAGAAAGGUCUAGGGCCCCACAGGCUCAAGCAAUUAGGAGUCAGUUUUCAGGUGGUGCAAAGACAAUGAUUGCUCGUAAUUGCCCCAUAGUGGAGAGAGAGAUUUUGGCUCUGGGUUCAAGAGCCCCAAGCCUACAAGGCCCCUUCCAGUCUGGCAGGAAAGCAAAUGCUGGGUGUGUUCAGAGCCCCCCAGUCAGACAUCUGGGUGUGGAAGCUCUUGUGCGGGCCUCUCAGAUCAGUGUGUACUACCCAGCAGUGGAGUCUGAGGAAAGUAUGUCAUUAGCCAGUGACUACUAUGGCAGCGUGUUCAGCCUCUAUCGACAAAGGACAUUUUCUGUAUAUAGUGCCCAGGAGUAAAUACGAGUUCUUGUGAUAUAAGAACACAAUUUUUUGUGGUUUAAAUGGGCAUAAACUAAAUUUAUGAAAACAUUUUCAUCUUUUCAGCUUUACUAUCCAUUCUUAUUUAUCAGUUUUCCCCUUAUAUUAAGUUUUCCCUUCUUCUUAACCUCUUUCCUUUGACUCCACUUGGUUUUGUUAAUCAUUUUUAGCAGUUUUGUGGUAACAUGCAUCAAUGAUUAUCAGUAUCAGUGGUUACUUUUUGCAUGCCUUUCUGCAUCACUUUCUCCAGAAACACAAGUUUAAUAUGUCAAAACCCUUAUCUUUCACUUAAAGACUGAAAUGCAGUACUUCAGUGUUCACUCUUUUAUUGUCAAAACAUUACAUUUUCCUCAAUUUCAGUGAAAAAGCAUCCUAUUAUUCUGAAGAUUCUGAAGGUUCAAGUAAAGUGAUUAAGAACAAUGUGGCAUUCAAAGGGUCUAUCUUUAAGGAGAGAGCCUCCUCACUGGAGGAUCGUCCCAGUUAUGCUCAUAACAAAUAUGCUCAGAAGAGCUUCAGUGGAUCAAGAAACAUCUUUCACUACAAAGCAUCUUGCUGAACCAGAGCAGACCAAUGCACCCAGAAAGACCAAUGCCCAAAAGGGCAUCUCAAAAGUCCUCUGUUCACCAAGAAGUGAUUUGAGCACUUCAAAGCCUCCAAGUCAUCAUUCUACUUCCACAUUCCCAAAGUCAUUUAAGGGAAGAGAAAAAAAAGCACUCCCCAUCAUCCCUACCAAACUGAUCCCUAUCAUUGUAACAGAAGAUAAGCCAAACAAAUAAAGCAGAAAAAAAGAAAGAAGUAAUUUGGGGCAAUCAAUGUCUCAGAGCAAGAGGACUCCUCUGAUGAUUCCUCCAUAUGUGCAGAAGAGGACAAAAGAGUGGGCCCAAUAUGAACUUCCCCUGGCUCUGAGGUGACAAUGGAGUGCAUCAUUGAAGAAAAACCUUUCUCAAGAAUGUUUUAUGGACAACAGGGGAGCAAUGAACUACACUCGUAAUUCUCAGCUCUUGCAUCUUGCAUUUGAGCGGGAUGUGAGAAAGAAAUUUCGCACCGAAUGGAAAGACCUCGUCGCCUGCAGGUUUUCUAAAUGUAAGAUGUCUUUUACUAGCAUAAAGCCAACUUUAUGCCAGUAGGUUUAAAAACUUUUUAGAGUUUUGAUAUUUAUUAAAAUAAACCAUGAAAUCAUAUGUCAAAUUUAACAUGUAUUUCACUACUGAAUGGGCCCAUACUUAAAAUAUACUGUAAUUUAAAUCUCAAUAGC
ensembl:lncRNA